GACGAACGCUGGCGGCGCGCCUAACACAUGCAAGUCGAACGAGCGAGAGAGAGCUUGCUUUCUUUAGCGAGUGGCGAACGGGUGAGUAACGCGUGAGGAACCGGCCUCAAAGAGGGGUACAACAGUUGGAAACGACUGCUAAUACCGCAUAAGCCCACGGUUCCGCAUGGCACAGAGGGAAAAGGAGCAAUCCGCUUUGAGAUGGCCUCGCGUCCGAUUAGCUAGUUGGUGAGGUAACGGCCCACCAAGGCGACGAUCGGUAACCUGACUGAGAGGUUGAACGGCCACAUUGGGACUGAGACACGGGCCAGAAUCCUACGGGGGGGAGCAGUGGGGAAUAUUGGACAAUGGGGGAAACCCUGAUGCAGCGACGCCGCGUGGAGGCAGAAGGUCGUCAGAUUGUAAACUCCUGUUGUUGGCGAAGAUAAUGACGGUAACCCAAAAGGAAGUGACGGCUAACUACGUG
rnacentral:rRNA from 1 species